AAAGAAUUAAAUAUGUGCUCCACGGGCGUAGCCUGAGAACAAACCGCAGUCCCGCCAGGGGACCCGGAACCAAACUGGGCCCGGCUGCCUGUCCCGCAGGGCGCUCUUCCACUGCCCCGGGGUGCGCCGUAAUGUAUGGAAUAGCACCGCGCAGGAGGAAAGGUUUGUUUGUUUUUGUUUUUGAGACAAUGUUUCUCUGUGUAGCCUCGAACUCACAAAGAUCCACCCGUGCCUGCCUCUGCCUCCCUGGAAUUAAAGGCUUGCCGCACAACUGCUGGGCACGCUCGGAAAGGGAACAAAGUUUUGGAAAGUUGCGUUGCCUCUGAAUCUUGCCACUUUGUAUACACAGGUUGUUUUGUUUGGGCACUGUUUUGAUUGGUUAGCUUGUUUCACUUUCUUUCUUUUGUGAAUGAGAAGUCCUGGGAAGAAGUCCUUCACGUUGCGGGUCCAGAGCCUGAUGAAAUUUGUCUAGGGGCUAUGUCUUUAGCCUCCUUCCUACCCGUUGCUUUCCUGCCUCUGCGUCAGCUCUAACGUGUUGUGACUAAUGAAUAAAAACCUCUUGGAAUAAAUUAAAACCCGGUUUCUACCAACCAAAAUCCCCCGGACAGCAUCAGAAGCAUAUAGCUGGUAUUUCUCUUUGGUGUAACUGCCUACUUAAAUCUUCCAACAGGCCGGUUUUUUAUGUUUUAUUAUUUUAUUUUGUGUAUGGGUGUUUCAUGUGCAUGCAUGAUGUCCAUAGAGACCAGAUGAGGUCAGCAGAGCCUCUGGAACGGGAGUUAGAUGUCUGUGAGCCAACAUGUGUGUGCUGAGCACUGAACCUGGUGAUCUUAACCUGAGCCAUUUCUCUGGCCCACCACCAAUGGCUUGGUUUGCUUUGGUUGUUUGGUUGUUUUUGUUUUGGGUUUUUUAAAUAAUUUUAUUUAUUGAUAUUAAUAAAUAAUAUUAAUAAAUAAUAAACAAUUUAUUUAUUUAAUACAUUUGAGUACACUAUAGCUGUCUUCAGACACUCCAGAAGAGGGAGUCAGACCUCAUUACGGAUGGUUGUGAGCCACCAUGUGGUUGCUGGGAUUUGAACUCAGGACCUUUGGAAGAGCAGUCAGUACUCUUAACGGCUGAGCCAUCUCUCUAGCCCCUUGUUUGGGGUUUUUUUAAGACAGGGUUUCCCUGUGUAGCCCUGGCUGUCCUGGAACUCAAGGCUAGCCUCAAACUUACAGAGACCCACCUGCCUCUGCCCGCCUCCCAAGUGCUAAGAAUAAAGGAGUGUACCACCUGGCCCCCACCAAUGUAUUUUUAAGGUGCCCUGACUCAUGACUUUGUUCUGUUACUAUAAAAACUUCCUCAUUGCUUCCAGACUGGAAUGUGGAAUAUAGGGUAACCUAAGUCUGUAUUUAUGGGACAUAGUCAUUCAUUUUUGGCUUGAAUAAACAAUCCCUCCAGUUGGUUGGUAGUGGCACAUGUUUUUAAUCCCAGCACUCAGAGGCUGAGGCAAGAGUAUCACUGUGAGUUCGAGCCCAGCCUGGGCUACAAAGCAAGUUCCUGGACAACCAGGGCUACACAGAGAAACCCGAUCUAGAAGAAAAUAAUAAUAAUAAUAAAAUGGACUGGAGAGAUGGCUCAACCGUUAAGAGCACUGACUGCUCUCCCAGAGAUUCUGAGUUCAAUUCCCCACAACCACAUGGUGGCUCACAACCAGCUGUAAUCUGUCUGUAAUGUGUCUGAAGACAGCAACAGUAUACUCACAUAAAAUAAAUAAAUCUUUCAAAACAAAUAAAGAUAAAAAUUUCUCUCAUCCCUUUUGAGAUGAAUGUUGUGUUUUGGGUUCAAACCGAGAAACAGAGUCUUACCCUGUAGCCUAGGUUGGCCCGGACCUCACAGCAACCCAUCAGCCAUCUGAGCACAGGCAAAACGGCCCUGGCCCUCUACUGACCAUUGGUUAUCAGACUAUUGAAUCAAAGGGCCCGAGACUCCUCCUAAGGAUAGCCUCCCCAGGGGGCAGACGCAGGAAGAACUCCUCAUUUGUCAGCUGAAGGUGAGGACAGACUUAGUGCUGAGACACUGAUGAGACUGGGCAACCAAGACAGCUUCCUUCUGCCUUCUCUUCAACCUUUGACUUCAACCCUAGCUAGGCCCCUGACACUGGGACCUAGGGACACCCUGGAUGCAGCUUUGAGUCCCUCUUCCCAGUGAGGCCACACUGAAUAAAGUCCCUUUUUCUGAUUUGCU
rnacentral:lncRNA from 1 species